UGGGUCUCGCUCGUUACCUGACUUAACAGGAUGCUUCACAGUACGAACUGGCGACGGCCAUGCACCACCUCUCAGCUAAUCCGGUAAAGUCUUCAGCCUGACCUUCAUAUCGCUGUCGCCCCCGGUGAGAUUUCCGGCGUUGAAUCCAAUUAAACCGCAGGCUCCACCCGUUGUAGUGCUCCCCCGCCAAUUCCUUUAAGUUUCAGCCUUGCGGCCAUACUUCCCAGGUGGCUCGCUUCACGGCUUCCCUACGGCACCAAUCACGGUCGCACCGUGACUGACACCUAGCGAGCAUCGUUUACGGCUAGGACUACCCGGGUAUCUAAUCCGGUUCGUGCCCCUAGCUUUCGUCCCUUACCGUCGGACCCGUUCUGGUGAGACGCCUUCGCCACUGGUGGUCCCUCGAGGAUCACAAGAUUUCACCCCUACCCCCAAGGUACCUCUCACCUUCUCCCGGUCCCAAGCCAAACAGUAUCCCCUAGCAGCCUGACAGUUGAGCUGCCAGAUUUCCCAAGGGACUUACCUGGCCGGCUACAGACCCUUUAGACCCAAUAAUAGCGGUUACCACUCGGGCCGCCGGUGUUACCGCGGCGGCUGGCACCGGUCUUGCCCGGCCCUUGCUAACAGAUGCUUUUUAGGCAUCUGGACAGCCAACAUUAUAUGCUGGCACUCGAGAUCCCCUUAUCACGGUUUCCCGCAUUGUAAAGUUUUCGCGCCUGCUGCACCCCGUAGGGCCUGGAUUCGUGUCUCAGAAUCCAUCUCCGGGCUCUUGCUCUCACAACCCGUACCCGUCGUAGGCUAGUAGGUACGUUACACCCACUACAACCCUGAUAGGCCGCAGACCCAUCCUCGGGCGCCGGAGCUUUCGGCCACCGCGCAUUCCAGCAUCGGUGACCUAUCCGGAAUUAUUCCCAGUUUCCCAGGAUUAUGCCGGACCCAAGGGUAGGUUGUCCACGUGUUACUGAGCAGUCCGCCAUGUUCACGAAGAACAUUCAACUCGCAUGGCUUAGUCGAAUCUCGAUAGCAGUAACCUCUGGCAGGAUCAACCGG
rnacentral:rRNA from 1 species